AUUGAACGCUGGCGGCAUGCUUUACACAUGCAAGUCGAACGGUAACAGGCCGCAAGGUGCUGACGAGUGGCGAACGGGUGAGUAAUGCAUCGGAACGUGCCCAGUCGUGGGGGAUAACGCAGCGAAAGCUGUGCUAAUACCGCAUACGAUCUAUGGAUGAAAGCGGGGGACCGUAAGGCCUCGCGCGAUUGGAGCGGCCGAUGUCAGAUUAGGUAGUUGGUGGGGUAAAGGCCUACCAAGCCGACGAUCUGUAGCUGGUCUGAGAGGACGACCAGCCACACUGGGACUGAGACACGGCCCAGACUCCUACGGGAGGCAGCAGUGGGGAAUUUUGGACAAUGGGCGCAAGCCUGAUCCAGCAAUGCCGCGUGCAGGAAGAAGGCCUUCGGGUUGUAAACUGCUUUUGUACGGAACGAAACGGCCUGGGUUAAUACCCUGGGCUAAUGACGGUACCGUAAGAAUAAGCACCGGCUAACUACGUGCCAGCAGCCGCCGUAA
rnacentral:rRNA from 1 species